rnacentral:lncRNA from 1 species
AAAACAGAAAAAGGGUAAUCUCAAACAAGCUACAAUAUUGCUUUUAAUUGCUCAUAAUAGUGAAUAAAUCAAAACAUUCCAAAUACAAUCAAAUAAAGAUAACGGACCUCAUAUUGCUAGAACUCCGGGCAGAACUCGAACCAGACCGGAAUCACGAACAACGACUCGACACGGAACCACGACGAACAAUGACGACCUCACUUAAACCCAAACUGAUUUCGAUGAUUUAAGGUCUGUCCGUGUCGAUCAUCAGACUGAUUUACAGCUGGGAUUUUUGGCUUGGUUUGGACGUGUUUGUUGGCUGGCUCAGUACUUUCUUGGAGCUGAUUUUCAGAGCUCGUUUUGGGCUGGUUGACGUUGCUGUUUUACGAAGGAAGUUCAGGUCGUUUAGGACGUGAAGAUGGUCGACUAGUCGUGUGGCUGGUUGGAACGGAGAU